GGGGAAUAUUGCACAAUGGGCGCAAGCCUGAUGCAGCCAUGCCGCGUGUGUGAAGAAGGCCUUCGGGUUGUAAAGCACCUUCAGCGGGGAGGAAGGCGGUGAGGUUAGUAACCUUGUCGAUUGACGUUACCCGCAGAAGAAGCACCGGCUAACUCCGUGCCAGCAGCCGCGGUAAUACGGAGGGUGCAAGCGUUAAUCGGAAUUACUGGGCGUAAAGCGCACGCAGGCGGUCUGUCAAGUCGGAUGUGAAAUCCCCGGGCUCAACCUGGGAACUGCAUUCGAAACUGGCAGGCUUGAGUCUUGUAGAGGGGGGUAGAAUUCCAGGUGUAGCGGUGAAAUGCGUAGAGAUCUGGAGGAAUACCGGUGGCGAAGGCGGCCCCCUGGACAAAGACUGACGCUCAGGUGCGAAAGCGUGGGGAGCAAAC
rnacentral:rRNA from 1 species